UGGUACAACAUAUCCCGCCUCCUCCCCCGUCUGUGUGCCUCCACAUUCCUCUGCAUUAAAAGUGUACAUACCUUUAUGUCUCAAACGUCAUGUGUGUGUAGACACACUGUCGUUAAUGAAAAACAAAAAUAAGCUCUUUUUGUUUUGCCUCUGUUACUUAAUCUGUGGGGAUGCAGGGGCAGGGGAAGCGGGAGAACGGCUGUGCUGCAGGGCCUGGGCAGCAGCCAAUCAGGGAGCGGGAUUAGCUGGAGGCAGGCAUAAACACGGGUUGUUGCUGUUGGUAACAGAGAUCUGAUUGGCUGCUUGGAGUUCUUGCUCAAUGGGAUAGGUGUUUUAACGUGUGGGUAUUUUGAUCACUGUUAUGAGCAUGUUUAUGUGCUGUUAUGUUCCUUAAUAACCUUGUUAUUCCCCCUCUUUUGUUUUUUUUUAUAAAGAGAACCGGGGGACUCUGCAGGCCACUCGUUUCGCCGGCCGCCAGCUGCUCCAAACAUGGGCCGGGCCUCUCCGCCAGCCAAGUGGUCAGCAGGCCCGUGAUGUCACAGCGCGGCAUGUUCCCGACCCGGCGCUGGCCCGCGCCGGCAUUCCACCGCCUGCUAAUGCCACAUGACCCCGGCGGCGAGGCCGCGGGGAUCUGGACCUGGAACACGGCGGCCCGUCUCACGCCGUGACAGCACCCGGUGUUCUCUGCCCCCGUCUACCCGGUCAGGUGACAGCGUGUGAAGAGGCCCGGUUCAGUGGGGUCACGCCUGGCCCUGUCCUGGACUGAUUGAUUUAAAAAAAAAAAAAAAAAAAAAAUCAUGCAUCAGAUGCAUCGGCCUUAUUUUAAACUUAGCAUAAACAGAAAACUUCUCCAUUCAAACCAAUGCAGCACAAAAAAGGCUGAGCUACAAGCUAGGCUAACAAGCUACAAACAGCCUUUAUGCAUUAUGUCACAUAGGGAGCUGUAACAAUAACAGUUACCAAUAAAAUGUUCUGAACACUCA
rnacentral:lncRNA from 1 species